UUUAUUUUAGGAAACAAAGAAUUAUUAGAGAAUUGGUUCAUCUUGGUCAAAUGAUGAUCCUCUGGGUCCUUUUCGAUUAAAUAACUCUCACCAAAGAGAAGCGAGAGGCUGCACCAACUGUAGUUUUCAUUACUAUAUACUUUCUGCUGGCCCGGUUCCGUACUCGAUUCAACGUCGCUGCUCCAUGGUCGAAGAAGUUACAAUGCUACGUUAACGAGUCCUCGUCGUCGUCGAUUAUGAAAGAUUUUAGCAGGACGUCAUCUCGCACCCUCAUCCGAAAUUCCGUCAUCCGAGACGUACCUUCAGAUCGAGAUCGCUCGCUGCUAAUCCAGUGAGAAUCGCCCUGCCACCCUGUCACUAUGUUGACCCCCCUGACGACGCCAUCGCCCGAUCUCUCCCGUCACCAACCCCUUAAUCUCCAUCAUCACCGUUCCUGUUUGAUCCCAGCAUUUCCGGCUGACCAAACACUACACAAACACACUCCAGAUAUUUAAAUCAAUAAAUUAGUGAGAAAAAUUAA